rnacentral:rRNA from 1 species
UUUGAUCAUGGCUCAGGACGAACGCUGGCGGCGUGCAUAAUACAUGCAAGUCGAGCGGAGCUUAUCCUUCGGGAUAAGCUUAGCGGCGGACGGGUGAGUAACACGUAGGCAACCUGCCCAUUAGCCUGGGAUAACUACCGGAAACGGUAGCUAAUACCGGAUAAUCCCUUUCCUCGCCUGAGGGAAGGAUAAAAGGCGGAGCAAUCUGCUGAUAAGGGAUGGGCCUGCGGCGCAUUAGCUAGUUGGUGAGGUAACGGCUCACCAAGGCGACGAUGCGUAGCCGACCUGAGAGGGUGAACGGCCACACUGGGACUGAGACACGGCCCAGACUCCUACGGGAGGCAGCAGUAGGGAAUCUUCCGCAAUGGGCGAAAGCCUGACGGAGCAACGCCGCGUGAGUGAUGAAGGUUUUCGGAUCGUAAAGCUCUGUUGCCAGGGAAGAACGUCCGGUAGAGUAACUGCUACCGGAGUGACGGUACCUGAGAAGAAAGCCCCGGCUAACUACGUGCCAGCAGCCGCGGUAAUACGUAGGGGGCAAGCGUUGUCCGGAAUUAUUGGGCGUAAAGCGCGCGCAGGCGGCUAUUUAAGUCUGGUGUUUAAACCUUGGGCUCAACCUGAGGUCGCACUGGAAACUGGGUGGCUUGAGUACAGAAGAGGAAAGUGGAAUUCCACGUGUAGCGGUGAAAUGCGUAGAGAUGUGGAGGAACACCAGUGGCGAAGGCGACUUUCUGGGCUGUAACUGACGCUGAGGCGCGAAAGCGUGGGGAGCAAACCGGAUUAGAUACCCUGGUAGUCCACGCCGUAAACGACGCUUUCUGGUGUUAGGGGUUUCGAUACC